ACGACGAUGCUGGGCUCCUUCUCUGCUGCAAGACUACUACAUACAGCGCCUGUUGAGGAGCGGCAGACGGGUGAGUAAUGCAUGGGAAUCUACCCAGCUCUACGGAAUAACUCAGGGAAACUUGAACUAAUACCGUAUGCGCCCUUCGGGGGAAAGAUUUAUCGGAGUUGGAUGAGCCCAUGUCUGAUUACUAGUUGGUGGGGAAGGCCAAAGGAAAAGGGAAAAUUUGAAA
rnacentral:rRNA from 1 species